rnacentral:rRNA from 1 species
GACGAACGCUGGCGGCGUGCUUAACACAUGCAAGUCGAACGGAAAGGCCCUGCUUUUGUGUGGUGCUCGAGUGGCGAACGGGUGUGUAACCCGUGAGUAACCUGCCCUUGACUUUGGGAUAACUUCAGGAAACUGGUGCUAAUACCGGAUAGGAGCUCCUGCUGCAUGGUGGGGGUUGGAAAUUUUCGGCGGUUGGGGAUGGAGUCGGGGGUUAUCAGCUUGUUGGUUGGGUAGUGGCUUACCAAGGCUUUGACGGGUAGCCGGCCUGUGAGGGUGAACGGGAAAAAUGGGACUGAGAGACGGCCCAGAGGGGAAGGGGAGGCAGGAGUGGGGAAUAUUGCACAAUGGGGGGAAGGGUGAUGAAGAAACGCGGCGAGGGGGAUGAAGGCCAUCGGGUUGUAAACGGCUGUAGCCUGAGACGAAGCGGGAGUGACGGUAAUGGGUAAAGAAGCACCGGCUAACUACGUG